UCUGAGCUCACUAGAUGGCGCUCUAUGUUCAAAGAAAAAGGGUUAAAGGAAUGGCAAUUCGGUGUGUUUUUAAGCCUUUGUUGAACAGAGAGCGCCAUCUAGUGGGCUCAGA